rnacentral:rRNA from 1 species
UACGUAGGCAGCAAGCGUUGUUCGGAGUUACUGGGCGUAAAGGGUGUGUAGGCGGUUCCUUAAGUUUGCUGUGAAAUCUCCCGGCUUAACCGGGAGGGUGCGGUGAAUACUGAGGGACUAGAGUACGGGAGAGGAAAGUGGAAUUCCUGGUGUAGCGGUGAAAAUGCGUAGAUAUCAGGAGGAACACCGGUGGUGUAGACGGCUUUCUGGACCGUAACUGACGCUGAGACACGAAAAGCGUGGGUAGCAAACAGG